rnacentral:lncRNA from 1 species
GUUUCUGUGCCGGGAUGGUGCCCCAUGACUGCCCCUUAGGACUGCUCUUCAUUUUUGGCUUUUUGCUCUGACUCUUUGGUUUGGUUUCCUAACCUUCUCUUGUCCGACCACAAUUCCUGGUGUCCCGCAUCUCUGUUGUCCACCUCCUCCUCACAAUUAAAGCUUUCAUCCACAGGGGAGAUGAAGAAAAUGGGCCUGGGUGAAGUUUCAGCAGUGGCCGCUAUUCCCCUCUCUGAGCCAGCACCAUGGAUAGAGGCUUUCUAGUGUCAGCCAAGGCACCUGUCUGCACAGUGGUAUCUAUCGCAAAGCACUGGUCUUCUC